rnacentral:rRNA from 1 species
CAAGAGUCAGGUGCGCGAGACCGGAUCUUGGGCGUAAAGAAAAGAAUGCGGCUGGUUAGUCCUGUGAAAGCGUGCACAUAACCCGGCUUUGCAUUUGAUACUGGCGGACUUGAGUAUGGGAGAGGGAAGUGGAAUUCCCGCGUAGAGGUGAAAUUGGUAGAUAUCAGGAGGAACACCGGUGGCGAAGGCGACUUCCUGGACCAAUACUGACGCUGAGGCGCGAAGGCGUGGGUAGCAAACAGGAUUAGAUACCCUGGUAGUCCACGCAGUAAACGGUGAUCACUAGGUGUAGCGGGUAUUGACCCCUGCUGUGCCGCAGUUAACGCAUUAAGUGAUCCGCCUGGGGAGUACGGCCGCAAGGUUAAAACUCAAAGGAAUUGACGGGGGCCCGCAUAAGCGGUGGAGCAUGUGGUUUAAUUCGACGCAACGCGAAGAACCUUACCUGGGUUUGACAUCUCGGGGAUUUUUUGGAAACAAGAAAGUGCCCUUCGGGGAGCCCGAAGACAGGUGCUGCAUGGCUGUCGUCAGCUCGUGUCGUGAGAUGUUGGGUUAAGUCCCGCAACGAGCGCAACCCUUAUCUUUAGUUACCAUCACUUCGGGUGGGGACUCUAAAGAUACUGCCCCGGUCAACGGGGGGGAAGGUGGGGAUGACGUCAAGUCCUCAUGGCCUUUAUGCCCAGGGCUACACACGUGCUACAAUGGGCGAUACAAAGGGUAGCGAGCCUGCGAAGGUGAGCCAAUCCCAAAAAGUCGUUCUUAGUUCGGAUUGGAGUCUGCAACUCGACUCCAUGAAGCUGGAAUCGCUAGUAAUCGCGGAUCAGCACGCCGCGGUGAAUACGUUCCCGGGCCUUGUACACACCGCCCGUCACACCAUGAGAGUUGGUUGUACCAGAAGUUGUUGGGCUAACCCGCAAGGGAGGCAGGCACCUAAGGUAUGGCUGAUGAUUGGGGUGAAGUCGUAACAAGGUAAAGGGCGAAUUCCAGCACACUGGCGGCCGUUACUAGUGGAUCCGAGCUCGGUACCAAGCUUGGCGUAAUCAUGGUCAUAGCUUUUGGUUCUCGCGGA